AUGCACUGGGGGUUCGUUGUUCAGGAAAACAGGAUUCUUAUGCUUACAGAGUUAAAAGAGCCUAUAAAGAUCCUUGUCUGAGUCUGGGGCUGCCACACAAGAUUUAGUAAAGAUGUUCUUUAUUUGAUAACAAUCUAUGAGUCAGAAAGUAAACAACCAGAGCACACCAUUUUUAAAAACCUGGCUGGGGAAAUCAGUUUCUUAAUAAUAUUCACAAUACUGUAUUGCUUUACUCUGAACACAGGAAAGACAGAAAGGAAGUGGUAAGAUGUAGGGUAAGACACUAGAGGCAGACUAUCGAGGUUCAAAUCCCAGCCCUACCACAACUGGCUGCAUGAAUCAGAGGAGUGACUGACUGAUCCACAAACCUCUUUCCUCAUUGAUAGAGGUGAUAAUAACAGCAGAGCUUGUGUCACGUGCAUGUGGACCACUGAAAGGGUUAAGUAGGAGAAUCCAUUAUUAGUGGAGAAGUUGGCAUACAGCAAACCUACCUCGAAAAGUGUUGCCUAUUACUAUAAUGGGGAAGGGAAAAUAGUUGUCAAUGUAGAAUACCAUUCUCUGGAAGUAUUUAACAUAGGAUAAAUUUUUAUAAGCCCCAGAUGAUUUAUUUGCUGACAACUUCUUAGGUCUCAUCAGUGCUUCUUUUUGCAGCCCCACCCUUGCACUGGCUUCGUAUUUACCAUUAUAACAACAAUAGAGGAAAGUAAAGCUGCAAGAGCCACAGACCAUUACACCACCAUGCCUGGCUUUCCCUUUGCAAUAGUCUGUUUUGAACCAAGCAGUCACUUACCUAAAAGGGGUGCUCUGCAAGGGAAUAAAUAAGUCAUUAUCUUAAUGCUUUUGCUUCAAAAAGAAGUGUAAGGUAUUACAAAAAUCAUGGGCUAAGAACCAGGCUGAAUUUCCGUGUUCACUUUGAAAGUUGGUAGUAACUGUAGUAUCCUGAAUGCUUUUCUGAGUUUCAAAAAACAUAAGAAAUAUCACCACUAUUUCCUGGUUGGAAGGGCAAAAUGAGAGAUCAGAGGCAAAGUGAGGAAUUGGAAGUGAGAAACUACAGCAAAUGACAUUAACAACUAGAUGACUAGAACAGGUUUCCAUGGAUUAUGGAAAAAAAAAAAAACCCCAAACCACAGUUGUUCCUUUGGCCACUAAAAGGCCAUUUCCUUUUGGCAUAAAACCAUGACGUACUUAGCUGUCUUGUCAGAAAAGUCAGAGCCAUUAUUAUGAGUGUGCAGAUUUGGAUUCACAAUUAGCACAACUGAAUGACAGUGAGAGAGUGAACACAAUCCCCCGAACAUACACGGGACAGAAAUCAAUACAGGUUUUCUCUCUUUUUGAUAUUCAGGUACAAAAUUUUUUUAAAGAUUUGGGAGUAUGAUAAACAAAAGUAGGGAGACC
rnacentral:lncRNA from 1 species